rnacentral:rRNA from 1 species
AUUCCCAGUAUUGGAGGCAUUGCCUGCCCAGUGACAACUGUUUAACGGCCGCGGUAUCCUGACCGUGCAAAGGUAGCAUAAUCAUUUGUUCUCUAAAUAAGGACUUGUAUGAAUGGCCGCACGAGGGUUUUACUGUCUCUUACUUCCAAUCAGUGAAAUUGACCUUCCCGUGAAGAGGCGGGAAUGCACAAAUAAGACGAGAAGACCCUAUGGAGCUUUAACUAACCAACCCAAAGAGAAUAAAUUUAACCAUUAAGGAGUAACAACAAUCUCCAUGAGUUGGUAGUUUCGGUUGGGGUGACCUCGGAGAAUAAAAAACCCUCCGAGCGAUUUUAAAGACUAGACCCACAAGUCAAAUCACUCUAUCGCUCAUUGAUCCAAAAACUUGAUCAACGGAACAAGUUACCCUAGGGAUAACAGCGCAAUCCUAUUCAAGAGUCCAUAUCGACAAUAGGGUUUACGACCUCGAUGUUGGAUCAGGACAUCCUGAUGGUGCAACCGCUAUCAAAGGUUCGUUUGUUCAACGAUUAAAGUCCUAC